GGGUCAGCUUAGCAUAGUGGAUACUUCGUUCAAUUUGUCUUGCAUAUACAAAUAGGGGUCCCGGGUUCAAGCCCGGGGCUUACAUCCACUCGCGCCGUCUAACCCGUUC
rnacentral:vault_RNA from 1 species